GGCACGCCUUAUACAUGCAAGUCGAACGCAGUAGCAAUACUGAGUGGCAAACGGGUGAGUAUAAUGUGGGAAUCUGCCUUUUGGUUUGGAAUAACACGGGGAAACCUGUGCUAAUACCGGAUAAGCCUUCACAGGGAAAGUUUUAUACGCCGAAAGAUGAGCCCGCACUUGAUUAGUUAGUUGGUGAGGUAAUGGCUCACCAAGACAACGAUCAAUAGCUGGUCUGAGAGGACGAUCAGCCACAUUGGGACUGAGACACGGCCCAGACUCCUACGGGAGGCAGCAGUAAGGAAUCUUGCACAAUGGGGGAAACCCUGAUGCAGCGAUGCCGCGUGAGUGAAGAAGGCCCUUGGGUUGUAAAACUCUUUCGUCGGGGAAGAAAAUGACUGUACCCGAAUAAGAAGGUCCGGCUAACUUCGUGCCAGCAGCCGCGGUAAUACGAAGGGACCUAGCGUAGUUCGGAAUUACUGGGCUUAAAGAGCUCGUAGGUGGUUAAAAAAGUUGAUGGUGAAAUCCCAAGGCUUAACCUUGGAACUGCCAUCAAAACUUUUUAGCUAGAGUAUGAUAGAGGAAAGUGGAAUUUCUAGUGUAGAGGUGAAAUUCGUAGAUAUUAGAAAGAACACCAAAUGCGAAGGCAACUUUCUGGAUCAUUACUGACACUGAGGAGCGAAAGCAUGGGUAGCGAAGAGGAUUAGAUACCCUCGUAGUCCAUGCUGUAAACGAUGUGUGCUAGACGUUGGAAACAUAGUUUUCAGUGUCGCAGCGAAAGCAUUAAGCACACCGCCUGGGGAGUACGACCGCA
rnacentral:rRNA from 1 species